GGAGAAAGGGGAAAGCUGAAGGCUGUGGAAUGUGGGUGCCGUUCCUCCCACGGCAGAGCCACGCAGGGGGGUGUGACCAGCAUCAGGGAGGCUGGGAAAGACCCAGUGACCGGACAGUGACAGGUUUCCUCCCCGCCGGUGGGCGCGAUUGCGGGAGGACGUGCCAGCAAGGCCAACGCGGAUUGGGUCCACUUUCCUGUCCCAAAGGAGAUGACUCCCAGAAGGAAGCAGAAGCCUCAAGCCAGGGAAAGAUACAGGACUGAUUCAAGACUGUGGGGUUCAUAACAACCCCUCAAAACCAGCACAUGACCUGCGAGGUGGCCAAUGGGAGUAAUGUCUGCUCAGAAUGGCACACCCUUCUUCAGGGCAAUAUUCAUUUGGACCACAAGGUAGGGGCUACCAAUCAUGGUCUUCCAUCAGCCUGGCCACAGAAACUGCUCCAGGAACGUACGUGUGAACCAACAUGACACAAUAGGUGGACAUCCCUGGGAUUUUCCAAAGCAGAGCAAGGAAAGAGAGCCUUUCAUCUUUGAUCACUGAGCUGUGAGAAUAUAAGUUUGAAAUUGCUGGGAUUAUGAAUCCUUCCCCUUAAGAAAGAAAAAAUACCGAGAAACAGGGAAACAGAGCAAGUUCCAAUGACGCUCCUAUCCUUUGAUUGCAUACAUGAACCAAUAAAUUCCCCCUUUUCUCUUAAACUACUUCAGGUGGUUUCCGCCAUUUGCAACUGAAAGAAUAACUACUAUUCAUGCUGGUUUUCUGGAUAAGUGUACUAAGGCUCCAAAGAUUAGGUAACCUGCCUGAAACUCACGCAUCCCAAGUGCCUGGGUAGGAGGCCUCUCCACAUUUAUCUGGCUCUGGACCAGUGCUCUGUGUCUUCAGGUCAGUCUCAGUAACACUGUGUUGGGCUAGUGCCAACAGUGAGCUAGCGCUGGCUAUUACUCAUGACAGCCCAUUAUUAAUAUUCAGGAAUUUUGUAAGCCAGUUGAUAUCACAUUGGUAGCUUGAAAUUGGCCAUGUUGGGAUUAUUUACACCACAGAAAUUUGCAAAUGGUACAAAACCAGGGCAUCCCCCAUCCCCAAGAGCCAGUUGUUAAACAUUCAACACAUACAUCUUGAAAGUUCAUUUCCUUUCUGGGCUCAAAGGGGACAUUCUCAGUACCACUCUUGGAGCCAGUGCAUGUCUAGUGGCCACCAGAUGUCUGAGCCUGGAAAGAGAUGCCCCCAGAAAAUCGCAGGUACUUGGUUGAGCCCUCCUCAACCUGCAUCGGGGACCUCUGGAGCUCCAUGUCUCUGCAUGGAGUCCCUAUGGGCAUGAACAAAGUCCCUUCUGCUUUUGUUCUUACACAGCUCAGCUCAGCGUGAGACACAGAGCGAGUGUAUGCUGCCUGACCCAGCAAUGAAGCAAUUCUUGCAUCCAGGCCUGUCUCACUCAAGAAGGGGGAGGAGGGUUUUAGGGGAGCUCAAUUUGCUUGUGGAGUCCCCACAAAGAAAGGAGAAUGGGAGUCUAUUCCCAUGGGAUGGGCAGUGACCCAGCGUGUCAUGGGCAGAAGCACACCUUCUUCUGACCCGUUCUCACUCAGUGCUGAGGCAGCCCAGGCCAUAUUUCUGACAUCAAAUCUAGUGUUAAGAGGAUCUAAUACCAAUCCUGCUCAAGCUCUUCCAAGAAACUGAAGAAGAGACAGUACUCCCUAACUCAUUUUAUGAGGCCAACAUCACCCUGAUACCAAAACCUGG